AGUUGAGAUAUGCGCGUCUGUCCGCUGUGUCUCCAUGUAGAUGUUGGACGUUUUUACGCAUGAAUAUUGUUUGUGUAAUGCAGUCAUAAUAUUUACUCGUGGACGCAGGAGGAGUGGAGGUGGAAGCUGAGCCGAGCUCAGAAACUCGGACGAGGAUCUCAGGAUCGGCUCCUGUGGGAAGACCGUGGAAAUAUCCAGGAAUGGUUUGGGUACAGAGAUUCAGGCUCAUCUCUGCCGCAUUCUUUCCAUUUUGCUCAAGAGCACAGUGGCUGUGAAGACAAGAGUGGGCAGCGAGCGACUUUGGCCACAGGAAGCUGUGAAUUAUUUGAAAAAUGGACAAUGUCUUAUGGGGAGACAUAGUGUAACCCCCUGCCCCACCCACCCACCAAUUCCACCCACUCA
rnacentral:lncRNA from 1 species